AACAGGGUGAAGCUACUGGAGCAGCCACUGAGCUGAGAGACUCCAGAGAGAAAGGAACUGGCACUCAGUUCUCCUCAGGAUGGCAAUAGUGGAGCCGCUCACAUGAAUUCUCAAGGCUGGAAAUGAAAAACAGAUUGAGUGAAAAUCACGUCCAUUUUUCACAUCUUUUAUUGGCCACAUUUGUGCUGGAGGAGGCUGUGGCCAGGACGUGACCACUGUGUGGCCCACAAGCUGGACCCAGGUAAUCAGAAGCCCCUCAGCACCUCCCCUCGCCAUGGAAGGUAGAUUCUGCCCAUAGUUCCCCCAUUUUUAAGAACACAGACUUGAGAGAGUUGUGUGUUGCUGAGACCAUGUGAUGAUGCUGUGACUAACCCCAGUGAAGGCCGCUGUAUCAACUUUCAGGAUCCUGGCAGGCAAGUGUGGAGAACUACAUGUGCUCACCCAAGUCAAGCCUCCUCUCUUCUGCUGGACAGAAUAUUUAUCCUCUAAGAAAAACAAUCUCCCUUCUUACGGAGGCCAGUGGAUUCCAUCCUCGAGGCUGUGUUGACUGUGUCUCCAAACAGGCAGUAACGCGGCAUCUUGAUCCCCACGACUCCGGCGGCACAGGGACCUGACGUGGACAGAAAGCAGGCAUAUGGGCAGCAGAAAUCGCAGAGCAGGGUGAAGGGGGGUAAUCCAGGGUCCAGUGGCUGAACACUUUGAUUUCAAGAAGUCACUGAGGGUGUGUAAUGGAAGCUGUGACUUUUGCUGUAAACGUAUGCAUGCCAUGAAGGAAGCAGCAUUAUGUAACACCCACUUUAAGAAAAUAGUUGGCUCUAGCACAAAAAAUAUAUUUGCACUAAAGAAGGCAGAGACCCGGGCUGCAAAGAUGGAAGUCCUUCUUAUAUAUUCAGUGGAAGGCUCCCAGGAAGGCUGAAGACUAGCCCACUGCUGCCCUGGGGUUGCUGAGCUGGGAACUGACAGGGUCGGGGGUGGGGGUGGGGCACACACAUGCGUAAUGGCCCACGUUUAAUUUUCGUUUCAGUCAGAGUAGCAUUUCUGGAAGUGGUGGCACAGUGAUGCAAGACCCAGGAGACGAAGCCCUAGCAUAGUUUCCUUCCAGCAUGCCCCGGCACCUGGAGGACAGGGAUGAGGAGAAUCCGACCUCGGCCACGUAGCCAUAAUGGCUGAUGGCACACAAGAAGUUAAGGAUCCCAGAAGUUAAAGAUUAACCCCAGCAGUGCAAAUUCAGGUUCUGGACAGUGGUUCUGAGGACACAUGGUGACCUUUGCAAAGGUAGGUAUCUGCUCUUUGCCAAGAAACCUGGAAUGACCUCUUGGAUUUUUUCUGUGAGACUUGGAGGACAGAAAAAGGAGCAGUGGCAGGAAAUGACAGAUGUGAUUAAUGCAAGGAAAGGCUCUUCAAUAAUGGAGUGAGUUGGCUUUAGAAACAGUGAAUUUUCAGGAAAUAGGGAGUCCUGGGAUCAUUCUAAACGUGGCUGUAUUAUUACUUAUCAUGAAAGCUAUAAAGACAAUUUAUAUCCCUAUAAAGAUCUGCGUUCCUCUCCAACUAUAUUUUCUGUUGGAAAUAACAUCUGUAAUUCAUCUUUCCAAAUCUCUAUGUUCAACUUUCAUGGUCUUUAAAGUGACCCAUGUACCACUGAAGGGCUGAGAGACAUAACACUUUUAUUAUAGGAAUUUAACCAGUUACUUUUUUUCUCCUGUGGACUGUCUAAUCAAUCCACUUAGGAUACUAUUUUAAUAGGAAAAAACCAUGAAGGUGGGAGUGCCAGGGAGAGCGAAUGGGGAGGGGAUAAGCAAAGUAGUAAAUAGAGUAGCUGCAGUAGGAAGCCUGGAGUUUCUAAUUUAGAAUAUGGUUAGUCUUAUUCCAGGAGCUAGUGCUGCCAAAGAUGUGAUUUCCUACACUUUCUAGGGACUGCGCCUAAGUUCAUUAGGCUGUAUAAUGGGACCUCAUAUUUGACCGAGAGAGCCAACCCUCGUAUGAAAACUGAUCACAUCGGAAGGCCCUUUACCCUUUGAUUUAGUGGGUACCCUUUGAUUUAGUGGGUACACAGAGGUACAUGUGGUUACCUAAGUGAUCAGUCCCUACCAGAGUGAACUCCAAUGCGAAUCCAUAUUGGGAGGCCAGGGAGAUGUUCCAGCUCAAAGGUCCCCAUGAAGCUGAGGAUAUCCAGGGCCAUCUUGGCGAUGUCUAUUGCAUGCCUGUUGCCAUUUCUCUUGGGCAGACCACUAGCCACCAUGUAGGCAUCACCAAUGGUUUCCACCUGUGGAAAUAUUUCUCAUCAGUCAGUCUGCCCUCAAAAGGCAAAGCAAUGGAACAGAAGCAGUGAAUCACAUGAAAGUUUCUGAGAACUCUGUAUAAGCACUGUUUUGGGGACCAGUUCUAAACAGUUCUAGCUUCAAGGUUUUUAUAUUUCAGUUAAAGGGAUGAUACAGUAGCUAUAAGGGAUUUUAACCGUAAGAAAGUACUUCAUAUAAAUCAUCUGGAUAUGGUGACAA